UUAAAUGUGUAUAUAUAGCUUACGGGUCAGCAAGACUCUCCAUGCAUAUUUGACAUCAAUGACACCAAUGUUGAGGCAAUAAUCUAAUUACCAUUCAUGUUGAUGUAAGUAAGACUGGCUCCUCUCUCAGACCAACAUAUGGAGCAACCAAAAUGAUCUCCUCCCUAUGUAAGAAACCUUAUAAACAAAAGGUGUUAUGCUUAAUAUAUUCAUUCUUUAAGGAAAACAGUGCCUCUCUCUCUCUCUCUCUCUCUCUCUGAAAUAUUUGUGGACUUAUAAUAGUUGUACAUGCAAUAAGUAACCCAAACACAUGCCUGCUUUAGUGACUAUGAUAAUAUAAUGGUGUUUGUAAGUAUAUUUGUUGAUCAUACUUGCUUAAAAUUCAUAUUCUUUAACACAACAUACUUUUUUUUCUAUUCAUAUGAGUCUUUGCCCAAUGCACCUACCUAUAUAUGGGCUUUAAGUAUGUAUGCUAAGGCUGAAUGUAUGAAUUUUACACAGAAACAUCAAAUAAAACAAAUCCAUUUUUAGUCAAUUUAAUGAACCAAUUAUUUAACAUACUAAUGAACACAAUGAUUUAAGUAUAUAUCAUCUUGCCUAACAUCUCACAUCACAUUAAUUUCACAUAUGGGAAGAGCAAACCAACCCGUCCGCUGCAAUUGACAUGGAUUUUGCCGUUACUGGUAGCCUGGUAACAUAUAGUCUCCAGGUCUUUCUCUGCCUCUGUGGUGGAUAGUGGAGUGCUUCCCAUGUGGUAUUGGUGUGCUGGAUAUCCCUUCACUGGUAGCCUGGUAACAUAUAGUCUCCAGGUCUUUCUCUGCCUCUGUGGUGGAUAGUGGAGUGUUUCCCAUGUGGUAUUGGUGUGCUGGAUAUCCCUUCACUGGUAGCCUGGUAACAUACACUCCCAGGUCUUUCUCUGCCUCUGUGGUGGAUAGUGGAGUGUUUCCCAUGUGGCAUUGGUGUGCUGGAUAUCCCUUCACUGGUAGCCUGGUAACAUACACUCCCAGGUCUUUCUCUGCCUCUGUGGUGGAUAGUGGAGUGUUUCCCAUGUGGUAUUGGUAUGCUGGAUAUCCCUUCACUGGUAGCCUGGUAACAUACACUCCCAGGUCUUUCUCUGCCUCUGUGGUGGAUAGUGGAGUGUUUCCCAUGUGGUAUUGGUAUGCUGGAUAUCCCUUCACUGGUAGCCUGGCAACAUACACUCCCAGGUCUUUCUCUGCCUCUGUGGUGGAUAGUGGAGUGUUUCCCAUGUGGUAUUGGUGUGCUGGAUAUCCCUUCACUGGUAGCCUGGUAACAUACACUCCCAGGUCUUUCUCUGCCUCUGUGGUGGAUAGUGGAGUGUUUCCCAUGUGGUAUUGGUGUGCUGGAUAUCCCCUCCCAAGAUGCAGGAC